GGUGCCCGGGUGAUUGAUUUGAAUAGAAUAUCAUCAUUUCGCCUCUUCGUCGGAAAGGGAACACAGGAUAGGAAUACAGCAUGUAGAAUGAAAACUGGAGGGAGGCAAUCGGAGGGGCCAGGUUGGGGGAAGGGGGCGGCUCACGUUUCGGGAGAAAUGGGUGCUUUAUCAGGGCGUUAAUGAGGGAGAGGCUAAAGAAUGCAAACACGAACCGUGGAUGCCCUUUCGGCAUUUGACCCAGAUGGAGUAAUAAAAUGAAGCGGGAAAAGGGGGAGGAAUGUUGCAAUCGGGUGUGUGCCGGAGUAGAAAAACAUACGCGCCUUCUCGCACUCCCGCAGGUGAGAGCUACGCAGGCCACUAUGUGCCUAACCUGGCUCUAGCUAUUGUGGAGGGAAACAAGGUGGCCGCGGCUUCGGGAGAGCCCAAGAUUAAUUUGCAGGUAGGUGAUGGUGUAGCGGCAUGACAUCUGGGCUGCUGGGCUGGUUAGGACUGUCAAAAAGACGGGUACGGGCUGGUUGCUGGAUUUGUCUGAGAAACUUAAUAAUGGUAGCUGUGGUGGGGAAGGGCGGGUUGCGCGGAAGUUGACGUUGACCACGUUGGGCAUCCUGUGUUCG
rnacentral:lncRNA from 1 species